UACGGGGGGAGCAAGCGUUGUUCGGAUUUACUGGGCGUAAAGGGCGCGUAGGCGGCCACCGCAAGUCGACUGUGAAAUCUCUGGGCUUAACCCAGAAAGGUCAGCCGAUACUGCGGGGCUAGAGUGCAGAAGGGGCAACUGGAAUUCUCGGUGUAGCGGCGAAAUGCGUAGAUAUCGAGAGGAACACCUGCGGCGAAGGCGGGUUGCUGGGCUGACACUGACGCUGAGGCGCGAAAGCGUGGGGAGCAAACAGG
rnacentral:rRNA from 1 species